rnacentral:rRNA from 1 species
GUGAGGAAUAUUGGACAAUGGGCGCAAGCCUGAUCCAGCCAUGCCGCGUGCAGGAAGACGCAUCUAUGGUGUGUAAACUGCUUUUGUACGGGAAGAAACACUCCCUCGUGAGGGAGCUUGACGGUACCGUAAGAAUAAGGAUCGGCUAACUCCGUGCCAGCAGCCGCGGUAAUACGGAGGAUCAAAGCGUUAUCCGGAAUCAUUGGGUUUAAAGGGUCCGUAGGCGGUUUAAUAAGUCAGUGGUGAAAGCCCAGCGCUCAACGAUGGAACGGCCAUUGAUACUGUUAGACUUGAAUUACAAGGAAGUAACUAGAAUAUGUAGUGUAGCGGUGAAAUGCUUAGAUAUUACAUGGAAUACCAAUUGCGAAGGCAGGUUACUACUUGUGGAUUGACGCUGAUGGACGAAAGCGUGGGGAGCGAACAGGAUUAGAAACCCCGGUAGUCC